rnacentral:tRNA from 1 species
AAGGGUGGAGCUCAGUGGCAGAGCGCGUGCUUAGCAUGCAUGGGGUCCUGGGCUCAAUCCCUGGUGCCUUCU